CGUUUCGUGAGAUGUUGGGUUAAGUCUCGCAAGCGAGCGCAUCCCUCGUCUUCAGUUGCCAUCAGGUAAAGUUGGGCCAUUUGGAGAAACUACCGGUGACAAGCCGGAGGAAGGUGGGGAUGAGGUCAAGUCCUCAUGGCCCUUACGGGCUGGGCUACGCGCGUGGUUCAAUGGCGGAGACAACGGGAACCGAAGGUGCGAGCCGGAACCGAUCCCAAAAAGCCGUCCCAGUUCGGAUUGCACUUCGCAUCUCGAGUCCAUGAAGGUGGAAUCGUUAGUAAUUGCGGAUCAGCAUGCCGCGGUGAAUACGUUCCCGGGCCUU
rnacentral:rRNA from 1 species